AGGGUACUCCGGAAACUCAGCUGCCCGUGCCGCAUCGGGGUCUAUCCGAGACAUGUGUGCCCCAGGAUUAUUGUGUAUCACAAUACGAUGAAUCUGGUUUCCGAUUGAAGACGCAUUAACAUUUCCAUCCUCAUUCACCCCUUCGUCGUCAAUAUCAUCCGGGACCUCGUCUGCGUCGGGAUCACUCUCACUAUCCACUUCGUAAUCAAC
rnacentral:lncRNA from 1 species